UGGGGAAGGGUCUCCUUCUGGAGAUUUCUUCUCUGUGGAGCUUUUCCUGUAAAUCCAGAUCUUUGGAUACAGAUUUCAUAGAUUUCAAAUGCAAAGAACUCUGCAUGUGAUCAAGAUCAGGAAACCUGGAUCUAAAGGGUCUCUGAUCAGAAAACACUGUGGCAGGAACCAAGUGAACCCUGGUUGUACAGGAUUUUGUUUUUCUUUUUAUCAGUGAAGACGGAGUUCAAAAUGCUAUUGAAUCUGUAUAGCAGCGCAUCAGGCUUGGCUGAAGCAGGUGACUACAAAAGACAUUAGGCAAAAGAGACACGAGCCUGAAAUAUUAAAUGAAGUGUGCCGCUCUAAUUUCCUUCUAAAAAGAUAUGUUUUUGAGGUUAAGAUAAUCUGUGUUGCAUACGAUAGUAUAACACAUGCCAUUCCGUUUAAUAAUCUAUAAUUAGUAAGAAAAUGUUUUUCACCUAACACCUGCAGCCUUUUUAGUAAAUGAAUCAACAACAUAAACAACUCAGAGAUAAUGAUUUUUCACUAUGUACCUAUUCCUUUUGUUCUUCCUCUUUUAGAUCCAUGUAGAUUCGUGCUGUGGUUCUGCCCUACUUUAACAGUCAGCUGGUUGAUUUUUUUUCCUCUACGUCUUUGAUUGUACCACCAUAAAAAUGAAAAGAGCUUCAUCAGAUUUUAGUUUUGGUCUAGGGACUUUUCCUAGCUCUCAAGCCUGAAUGAAUAUUAAAGCAACUCAAAAUGCAACAAUUGUUAUUCUGAGGAUAAAAUAAAAAGAAAUAUUCUACUGAACAUCACAGUAGACUGAUGAAAAGGUAAUGGCACUUCUGCAGAAUAGAAUAAAAUCAAAUCCUAAUUGUUUUGGUCAAUUUGACUUGCCAGCAUCUCCUGCUUUAAUGUCUGCAUAAAUUAGAAACCUUUUCUCUGUUCAAAUUCCUGUGGGGUUGCUGUCUUUGGCUUCUGUCUACUUAAUUCAGUUCAGCUAGUGAAUGCUUUUGGAUAAUGUCAUGAUAUUUCCAUUAAAGAAUUCAAAGUUGGUGAGAAGAAAGGUGUCAAAUUGUUAUUAUUCAAUAGCGAUAGUUUCAGUGAUAAGUCUUUGAUUUGGCAGAUUCCUUCAGCACUGUAAAGAAUGUUAGUGAAAAAACUGAGGUACAUGAUCCAAGGACAAAGCUAUUUGCCCAGUGUACCUGCAGGCAGGGUAAACUGCAAUUCUGGCUACAACAAAUGAAGCUUCCAGUACCAGUGGCUGGCUAACAAUAAGGGUGUGUCAGCAAUUGCAUUGGCUUUUGGAAAGAAGGAGAAAAGGAAUUAAUAAUGUUCAUUGUUCCUUUCUGGAAGAAAGUAAGUUUGGUCAUGGGAUAAAAACUGUUUCAUGAAGUUGUGGUCUAAAUCUGCUCUUGGCUCAAUAUGUCCUGGUCUUCCUUAUUUUCUACUCAUAAAUCUAGUGAAUAAAUGCGUUCUCUCCAGUAGGGCUGCUAAGUGUUCAGUCUAGACCCCACGUUACUAAGUCUAAUUCUCUCGCUAGAGAACUGCCAUUUCAUGUUUUUCUUUAUUAAGCAGAAGAUAUGUUAGCACAAGGAAAGUUGCUAUUUCCAAAACAACUGAAAAUUACCAUUAUUUUUGAACAGUGGAAUAUCGUGAAAAUACAAAAGAUUAAAUCCCUCUAACAGUUGUAGAGCACUGUAGUACAGACUAAAAAAAAAUAAUGCAAUAAUUUUGGGUACUGUUUCAUAAAUUGGUUUGUUCUGUCUAUGAUGUGCAAGGAUUUGAGUAUCAUUUUACAAAACAUGUAUAUAAAAUAUUUUUAAUUACCUUUUUUACAAUGCCAGUUGAAAACAUGUAGACAUCUCACAGUGCCUACAAAUCCUGCUCUCUGUUAGUGUAUUUGAAUGACCUUGAGGUGCUCCCACCCUGACUCCAUGAGGGGCCUUGCUGGGCUGUAUCCAUUUCUGGGGAAAUAGAGGAAUAUGGACAAGUAAGAAAAAAACAACUAAACAACAAAAAUAUAUUUUUCUUGAAUGAUAAUUUUAGAUUAUAGCUAGCAGAAUCAAGGGCACAUAGGCAUGGCACAUGAUGAUUAUGAUUUAUGGAAGCAUUAUAAAGGAAGAAAAUCAAUAUAUAUUCUAAAAUUUCUGUUUGCUCAGAUUAGUCUAAACCUCCUCCUUCAGUUCAUGAUGACAGAGGAAGGCUACAUUGAUAAGAAUGCUUUCUUUAUUCCUCUCAAAAGAAUCUCAAUAACUGUUAAUGUACAAAUCCAGUUUUAGAAGAGGAAUAUUUUCUAACCUUAGAUUUUAAUAAAAAAAAAACAGCAGGUAUGACCUGUAAUAAAUAUCUUACGUUUAGGUUCAAGAGUGAUAUUUGAUAUGCAACUGCUACUGAUAAACACUGGGACAAUGCAGUAUAUGAAGAUUCUAUUACAAGCAUACGAAAUCAAAAUAUGAAUCUGUCUUCCCUUCAGUUCUUUCAGUCCUCUUUGCUAUGCCUGUAUCAAUGUGAUGUCUUCAGUCAAAGAUCUAUCGUGUUAUUAAUUUAUACUUUAUUGCAUUUUGUAUCCAACCAAAUGUAGACAUUAAAUAAUACAACAUGGCUUUUUUGUGUAAUGAA